CUGCCCGAAAUGCUUGAGUACUGGCUAUCUGGGAUGUGGCUUUUUGGGCCUUUUUUGUGCCAUGUCACGGUGCCCUUUACAGGCGGGCUCGUUCAUGGGCGUGGUAUACAUACAUGCGUGUGUCGCGCUCCUCUGAUGGGUCCGUGCUGGGUGAACCUAUCGAAGCAUCACACGGUAAUUGCCCACCACAGCUCGUUGCUUGGUCACCCGCUGGGUCUGAACGUGCAGGAUGCUCAUCCAGUUUCCGGACUGUGAAUGUUGACGCGUGUAUGGGCGAUGGUACCGUACGGAGGGCUUUUCCGUGCGCGUACGCGCUCGCGUCACGUCCGUGAUCCUGGCUCUGACUGCCGACUUGUAGACGUGGUGUGAUCCAUUCGGCGACGAAGCUGGAAUUGGCCAGACACAUGCAACCCCAGCACUGCGGCCACGUGUCGGUCGCAGUGUACCUGCGGGCAGGCUGCCUGCGUCGCAUGUUUUUUUGAUGCAUACGCUCAGCCUGGGAGUUGGUCUGAUUGGUGAUGAUCUGGCGACCAUCGGUCACGUCUCGAAACACGGGCCAAGGAGUAUAGCAUGUGUGCGAGUCU
rnacentral:rRNA from 2 species